rnacentral:rRNA from 1 species
GAUGAACGCUGGCGGCGUGCCUAAUACAUGCAAGUCGAGCGAACAGACGAGGAGCUUGCUCCUCUGACGUUAGCGGCGGACGGGUGAGUAACACGUGGAUAACCUACCUAUAAGACUGGGAUAACUUCGGGAAACCGGAGCUAAUACCGGAUAAUAUAUUUAACCGCAUGGUUCAUUAGUUUAAUUCGGUUUUUCUGUCACUUAUAGAUGGAUCCGCGCCGCAUUAGCUAGGUGGUAAGGUAACGGCUUACCAAGGCGACGAUGCGUAGCCGACGUGAGAGGGUGAUCGGCCACACUGGAACUGAGACACGGACCAGACGCCUACGGGAGGCAGCAGUAGGGAAUGUGACGCAAUGGGCGAAAGCAUGACGGAGCAACGCCGCGUGAGUGAUGAAGGACUUAGGAUCGUAAAACUCUGUUAUUAGGGAAGAAAAAAUGUGUAAGUAACUAUGCACGUAUUGACGGUAACUAAUAAGAAAGCCACGGCUAACUACGUG